UACGGGGGGGGCAAGCGUUGUUCGGAAUUACUGGGCGUAAAGGGCGCGUAGGCGGUGUGCCAAGUCAGGCGUGAAAGCCCCGGGCUCAACCUGGGAACGGCGCUUGAGACUGGCACGCUCGAGUUCGGGAGAGGAUGGUGGAAUUCCCAGUGUAGAGGUGAAAUUCGUAGAUAUUGGGAAGAACACCGAUGGCGAAGGCAGCCAUCUGGACCGACACUGACGCUGAGGCGCGAAAGCGUGGGGAGCAAACAGG
rnacentral:rRNA from 1 species